rnacentral:rRNA from 1 species
AGAGUUUGAUCCUGGCUCAGGACGAACGCUGGCGGCGUGCUUAACACAUGCAAGUCGAACGGAAAGGCCCUUCGGGGUACUCGAGUGGCGAACGGGUGAGUAACACGUGGGUGAUCUGCCCUGCACUUUGGGAUAAGCCUGGGAAACUGGGUCUAAUACCGAAUAUGACCAUGCACUUCCUGGUGUGUGGUGGAAAGCUUUUGCGGUGUGGGAUGGGCCCGCGGCCUAUCAGCUUGUUGGUGGGGUAAUGGCCUACCAAGGCGACGACGGGUAGCCGGCCUGAGAGGGUGACCGGCCACACUGGGACUGAGAUACGGCCCAGACUCCUACGGGUGGCAGCAGUGGGGAAUAUCGCACAUUGGGCGCAAGCCUGAUGCAGCGACGCCGCGUGAGGGAUGACGGCCUUCGGGUUGUAAACCUCUUUCAGCACAGACGAAGCGCAAGUGACGGUAUGUGCAGAAGAAGGACCGGCCAACUACGUGCCAGCAGCCGCGGUAAUACGUAGGGUCCGAGCGUUGUCCGGAAUUACUGGGCGUAAAGAGCUCGUAGGUGAUUUGUCGCGUUGUUCGUGAAAACUCACAGCUUAACUGUGGGCGUGCGGGCGAUACGGGCAGACUUGAGUACUGCAGGGGAGACUGGAAUUCCUGGUGUAGCGGUGGAAUGCGCAGAUAUCAGGAGGAACACCGGUGGCGAAGGCGGGUCUCUGGGCAGUAACUGACGCUGAGGAGCGAAAGCGUGGGGAGCGAACAGGAUUAGAUACCCUGGUAGUCC